rnacentral:rRNA from 1 species
UAAGAGUUUUGANCCUGGCUCAGGAUGAACGCUGGCGGCGUGCCUAAUACAUGCAAGUCGAGCGAAUGGAUUAAGAGCUUGCUCUUAUGAAGUUAGCGGCGGACGGGUGAGUAACACGUGGGUAACCUGCCCAUAAGACUGGGAUAACUCCGGGAAACCGGGGCUAAUACCGGAUAACAUUUUGAACCGCAUGGUUCGAAAUUGAAAGGCGGCUUCGGCUGUCACUUAUGGAUGGACCCGCGUCGCAUUAGCUAGUUGGUGAGGUAACGGCUCACCAAGGCAACGAUGCGUAGCCGACCUGAGAGGGUGAUCGGCCACACUGGGACUGAGACACGGCCCAGACUCCUACGGGAGGCAGCAGUAGGGAAUCUUCCGCAAUGGACGAAAGUCUGACGGAGCAACGCCGCGUGAGUGAUGAAGGCUUUCGGGUCGUAAAACUCUGUUGUUAGGGAAGAACAAGUGCUAGUUGAAUAAGCUGGCACCUGACGUAC